rnacentral:lncRNA from 1 species
GGGGAUGGAAUGCCGCAAUCGGCGGCGCCGGUGGCCGAAAAAGAGAGGAAGAUGGCCCGACUGAACAGAGCAAAAACAGGGGUCAUCUUGUUCAUGGAUUUUUCGACGAUUCUGACAGCCGGCGAGGAGUCUAAAAUCAUGGAAAGAAAGAGAAGAGGGAGAGGAAGAAAGAUUGAACCCUUACCUGAACUCUGGUGGCCUCUUCGACCUUCAAUUUUCGAUGAACACGAGAAGA